GACGAACGCUGGCGGCGUGCUUAACACAUGCAAGUCGAACGGAAAGGCCCCUUUGGGGGUACUCGAGUGGCGCACGGGUGAGUAACACGUGAGUAACCUGCCCUUGACUUCGGGAUAACUUCAGGAAACUGGGGCUAAUACCGGAUAGGAAUCCUUGCUGCAUGGUGGGGGUUGGAAAGCUUCGGCGGUUUUGGAUGGACUCGCGGCGUAUCAGCUUGUUGGUGGGGUAGUGGCUUACCAAGGCUUUGACGGGUAGCCGGCCUGAGAGGGCGACCGGCCACAUUGGGACUGAGAGACGGCCCAGGCUCCUACGGGAGGAAGCAGUGGGGAAGAUUGCACAAGGGGCGGAAGCCUGAUGCAGCAACGCCGCGGGCGGGAUGACGGCCUUCGGGUUGUAAACCGCUUUCAGCAGGGGUGAAGCUUGUGGUGACGGUACCUGCAGAAGAAGCACCGGCUAACUACGUG
rnacentral:rRNA from 1 species